CUUCCAUCCAUCCUAGUGCAAAGAAGCAGGCUUUUUACUCGUCACCAAGAGGACAGAUCUCGGAAGGAAGAGUCAAAAAGAAUAAAAAGGGGAACACUCCAGGUGAUCAGAUUUCUUGCUGUGAGAUCCUCUUCUGCAAUGAUUCUCCUUUGUCAUGUCUAUUGGAAUGCUGGAAAGAGGCCAUCAUUGGAUAAUCUACUUCAACAAGCUCAUUUAUCACAUUUUUUACUGAACUCAUAGAUUUUGAUCCCCCACAAGCUGCAGACCGCCCACCCGCCUGCCUAACAAGUUUAUCAAGUGUUUUAAAUAGAAAAUAAAGACAAAGAUAGUAGAGAUAGCCUUGAAGAGGCUAAUUUGCUGAAACCAGAAGAUGGUAGAAGAUAGUAACUUGGCAAACAAGAGAGAGACUACAGAACACAUCCAGAGAGACGAUUUGAAAGUGAAAAUGUGAUAUACAGCACAGAAACAUGGUACCUAUCAGAAAGCUGUCACCACCAAAUGACAUUUGUACUUUUCAGUGUUGAAGUGGGAAUUGUUCUAGCUAUGCAUGAGUCCCUAAUAUAUGGAUCCCUAUUAAUGUAUUUCUUGCAAGUUUCUUGGCUGUGUAUUUUGGGUACUACCCCCAUCAUCUGUUCUUUCCACAUGUGUAGAAGUAUAUACUCUAUGUGUACUUGAGAGGGCUUUUUCUUGCCUUAUGUUGCUUGAUUAAAUGUCUUGUUUUGAGCUAAUGUAUCUGCCUAUCUGGAAAAAUAAAUGCAUGAAUGAAGAA